UUGAUAAUACACCCUACAGCGCCGAACUACCACUCUCAUCAGGUAUUUCUAUACCCAUGUCUACCAGCCCCUGAAUUUUCUGCUAUUUUACACUUUGCUUUGCAGUUCAGUUUUCUGAAUCUUCUUUGUGUACGUGUAAUGACAAAAAUAUUUGGCAUUGUGG